GGUUCUAUAGUGUAAUGGUUAGCACAUCGGAUUCUGAUUCCGGUAAUCCCAGUUCGAUCCCGGGUAGGACCU
rfam:Aureobasidium pullulans var. melanogenum CBS 110374 unplaced genomic scaffold scaffold_41, whole genome shotgun sequence.